rnacentral:rRNA from 1 species
CAACUGGGGGAUAGCCCGCCGAAAGGCGGAUUAAUACCGCAUAACACUUUUACCCGGCAUCGGGUGUUAGUUAAAGAUUUAUUAGUUGUAGAUGAGGUUGCGGGUCAUUAGCUAGUUGGUAAGGUAACGGCUUACCAAGGCGACGAUGACUAGGGGAGCUGAGAGGCUGGUCCCCCACACGGGCACUGAGAUACGGGCCCGACUCCUACGGGAGGCAGCAGUUGGGAAUAUUGGGCAAUGGGCGAGAGCCUGACCCAGCCAUGCCGCGUGCAUGAAGAAGGCUUUCUGAGUCGUAAACUGCUU